GACCUAGCAAACCAGUAGCGCCCAUGGCAGUGACCGGCGUCUUCCCUCCUCCGGCCUAGUCACGCAGCAACGACGAACCCGACGGCGUUGGGCAGUGGCGGCGGUAGUCGUGCGACCCCUCUCCUUCUCCCCUGUUUGUUCUUCUCAGCAAAACAAUGGCAGUGGUGGAUGGAUGCCAAUCAUAAGGUUACCUGUUAUGGACUAACUGAUGAGUUGAGCCUAGAUUGGAUGCUUGCUUUUGAAGCUUAGCUUAAGGACUUGAUAGAAGUAACUCAUUUUGAGAGCGCGGCGUAGAGCUAGUUGUCAUUGGAGUUAUCUCUUGGUUUAAAUGGUUUAGUUUAGAAUCCAAAUUGAUGUAUUAUAGUUGAUUUGUAUUACGGAUAGUGAGUUAUUGUAAUAUGAAUUGUAGUUAGAAAGCUUUGUAGCCUGUGCAUUUGGGCUUAGUGGUGGUCCAAGCGUGGCAUAACACCCCAUUGGUUUGGAGUUUGAAUUCGCUUCCGCAUUUAUAUUCAGUCUUUUAGUAAG